AACCUAUGACAUGGUACCAACAAUACUUACUCUGUUAUAGCCUAGGACGUCAUCGGGAGCUCCUCUAUUACAAACAACAUCCAAUAUAGCAGUAUCGAACAACCAUCCUAAUAAUUUGAAACGAAAUGCUAUGAGCAAGAAAUCCUAGAGCCUUAUACAUAGGCUCAUAUUGAUUUUCUAUGCAUGCACCGGUUAAUCUUCAGUUUGCGUAGGAGGCAUCAGGAGUUUAGCUAGCCAUCACUGGGUGUGCACACCCUCUGUUGGUGCGUGCAUCACCGACGUCCUGCAGAGAAACCGCUGAUGAUGUGGGACGAGAAGACGCCGGCGAGUGUGCUUCAGCCAGCAGGACGGGAUGGUUACCGGCAACUUAUCUUUCAUACAUCGGUCAGCUGCAACAAAAUUGAGUUGCUCGUCUGGCAGGGGACCCUGUCCAGCUGCAGUGGGAGCUUUAGUAACAUUCCAGCCGCUAGAAAUUAGUUAAAUUUGGUAGAUUCAGAAUAUGCGUUAGAAGUUUAGACAUGGAUUAAUAUUUUCUCUUUUAAGAUUUGACCACUAUACUUAUUUUAGAUUUUUUGUGAGUCUAUGUUGAUGUUGUGAUGAGACACAUCUCCCUUCGAAGUUAUGUACGGAGAGAGUAGUUGGUUGCGCUGGUGUGUCUAAUGGGUUUAAUAAUUCGGUUUC
rnacentral:lncRNA from 1 species